CGCCCUCAAAAAAAAUAAAAAAAUCCGUUGAGCCCACUUCCUCCCCCCACUCCCCCAGCCCCCAAGAGUACCAGUUCAGGAAACGGCGGCCACAACCCCCGGCGGCGUGCGUGGUACGACUGUGACGUCAAGGGCCGUGGAUAGCGUCGUCCCAUAGACGGCGCAGUGUACUGCCGUGGCGGUGCAGAGUGGCAGGGACGUGCAAUCUCCGGCUUGGGAAGCGAACUUGUGGUGCCUCACACGGAGGAGGUACCCAUGCAAGCCACCUGUUCGACAGAGUGCCAGAGCGAAGGAAUACCGCCAGCCUAACAGGAGAGUCAACGGCCAGCGGCAAGCUAUGCAUGUGCAGCCGCCGCUUUCGGCCGGGCCGGGCAACGCCCUGCCGUGCCCGCCCGUGAACAUACACAGCACGGCAUGGCACGGCUCCAAAAGCUAGGCGCUUAUUAUACGGGACAAAGGGCUGGCGAAAAUUCUACUCGUGCUCUGCAUUUUGGUCUAUUUUAUCAGGCUCUCGAGUCGACGGCUGAUAAAAUCUGUGGAUCACGCUCUGCACUGCGUUGUUGGUGAGAGCUGGAUUUGGGCCAUCGGUUUAAUGCUAUCAGACUUAGUGUCUACCCUAAGAAAAUAGAAAAAAUUCCUUAUUUGACACCGUAAUUAAACUUUAUGCCCUAUUUGUCAUCGACAAA